GACGAACGCUGGCGGCGUGCCUAAUACAUGCAAGUAGAACGCUGAAGAGAGGAGCUUGCUCUUCUUGGAUGAGUUGCGAACGGGUGAGUAACGCGUAGGUAACCUGCCUGGUAGCGGGGGAUAACUAUUGGAAACGAUAGCUAAUACCGCAUGAUAUUAAUUGUCGCAUGAUAAUUAAUUGAAAGAUGCAAUUGCAUCACUACCAGAUGGACCUGCGUUGUAUUAGCUAGUUGGUGAGGUAACGGCUCACCAAGGCGACGAUACAUAGCCGACCUGAGAGGGUGAUCGGCCACACUGGGACUGAGACACGGCCCAGACUCCUACGGGAGGCAGCAGUAGGGAAUCUUCGGCAAUGGGGGGAACCCUGACCGAGCAACGCCGCGUGAGUGAAGAAGGUUUUCGGAUCGUAAAGCUCUGUUGUAAGAGAAGAACGGGUGUGAGAGUGGAAAGUUCACACUGUGACGGUAUCUUACCAGAAAGG
rnacentral:rRNA from 1 species